GAGUUUGAUCAUGGCUCAGGAUGAACGCUGGCGGCGUGCUUAACACAUGCAAGUCGAACGAAGCGGCUGCAGGGAUUCUUCGGGAGGAACAGUAGCUGUCUGAGUGGCGGACGGGUGAGUAACGCGUGGGCAACCUGCCCAUACCGGGGGAUAACAGCCGGAAACGGCUGCUAAUACCGCAUACGCCCGGGAGGCUGCAUAGCUUCCUGGGGAAAACUCCGGUGGUAUGGGAUGGGCCCGCGUCUGAUUAGCUCGUUGGCGGGGUAACGGCCCACCAAGGCGACGAUCAGUAGCCGGCCUGAGAGGGCGGCCGGCCACAUUGGGACUGAGACACGGCCCAGACUCCUGCGGGAGGCAGCAGUGGGGAAUAUUGCACAAUGGGGGAAACCCUGAUGCAGCGACGCCGCGUGAGCGAUGAAGUAUCUCGGUAUGUAAAGCUCUAUCAGCAGGGAAGAAAGUGACAGUACCUGACUAAGAAGCCCCGGCUAACUACGUGCCAGCAGCCGCGGUAAUACGUAGGGGGCAAGCGUUAUCCGGAUUCACUGGGCGUAAAGGGAGCGCAGGCGGCACGGCAAGUCUGGUGUGAAAACCCGGGGCUCAACUCCGGGACUGCAUUGGAAACUGCCGGGCUGGAGUGUCGGAGGGGUAAGCGGAAUUCCUAGUGUAGCGGUGAAAUGCGUAGAUAUUAGGAGGAACACCAGUGGCGAAGGCGGCUUACUGGACGAUGACUGACGCUGAGGCUCGAAAGCGUGGGGAGCAAACAGGAUUAGAUACCCUUGGUAGUCCACGCCGUAAACGAUGAAUACUAAGGUGUCGGCGGGCAGGGCCCGCCGGUGCCGCAGCAAACGCAGUAAGUAUUCCGCCUGGGGAGUACGUUCGCAAGAAUGAAACUCAAAGGAAUUGACGGGGACCGCACAAGCGGUGGAGCAUGUGGUUUAAUUCGAAGCAACGCGAAGAACCUUACCAGGCCUUGACAUCCCGGUGACAGAGCAUGUAAUGUGCUUUCCUUCGGGGCAGCGGAGACAGGUGGUGCAUGGUUGUCGUCAGCUCGUGUCGUGAGAUGUUGGGUUAAGUCCCGCAACGAGCGCAACCCCUGUCCCCAGUAGCCAGCAGGUAGCGCUGGGCACUCUGGGGAGACUGCCGGGGACAACCCGGAGGAAGGCGGGGAUGACGUCAAAUCAUCAUGCCCCUUAUGGCCUGGGCUACACACGUGCUACAAUGGCGCAGACAGAGGGAGGCAAAGCGCGAGGCGGAGCAAACCCCAGAAAUGGCGCCCCAGUUCGGACUGCAGCCUGCAACCCGGCUGCACGAAGCCGGAAUCGCUAGUAAUCGCAGAUCAGAAUGCUGCGGUGAAUACGUUCCCGGGUCUUGUACACACCGCCCGUCACACCAUGGGAGUCGGAAAUUCCCGCAAGUCAGUGGCCCAACCGCAAGAGGGAGCUGCCGAAGUGCCGGGUGACUGGGGUGAGUCGUAACAAGGUAGCCGUAUCGGAAGGUGCGGCUGGAUCACCUCCU
rnacentral:rRNA from 1 species